AGAGUUUGAUCAUGGCUCAGAUUGAACGCUGGCGGUAUGCUUAACACAUGCAAGUCGAACGGCAGCAUGGUUCGUAGCAAUACGAACUGAUGGCGAGUGGCGGACGGGUGAGGAACGCGUAGGAACCUGCCUUGUAGAGGGGGACAACUAGAGGAAACUCUAGCUAAUACCGCAUAAAGUCGAAAGACCAAAGCUGGGGCAACCUGGCGCUGCAAGAGGGGCCUGCGUCUGAUUAGCUAGUUGGUAGGGUAAAGGCCUACCAAGGCGAUGAUCAGUAGCUGGUCUGAGAGGAUGAUCAGCCACACUGGAACUGAGACACGGUCCAGACUCCUACGGGAGGCAGCAGUGGGGAAUAUUGGACAAUGGGCGCAAGCCUGAUCCAGCAAUGCCGCGUGAGUGAGGAAGGCCUUCGGGUUGUAAAGCUCUUUCACCCACGACGAUGAUGACGGUAGUGGGAGAAGAAGCCCCGGCUAACUUCGUGCCAGCAGCCGCGGUAAUAC
rnacentral:rRNA from 1 species